CCUACGGGAGGCUGCAGUCGAGAAUCAUUCACAAUGGGGGAAACCCUGAUGGUGCGACGCCGCGUGGGGGAAUGAAGGUCUUCGGAUUGUAAACCCCUGUCAUGUGGGAGCAAAUUAAAAAGAUAGUACCACAAGAGGAAGAGCCGGCUAACUCUGUGCCAGCAGCCGCGGUAAUACAGAGGUCUCAAGCGUUGUUCGGAAUCACUGGGCGUAAAGCGUGCGUAGGGUGUUUCGUAAAGCGUGUGGGAAAGGCGCGGGGUCAACCCGCGGACGGCACAUGAUACUGCGAGACUAGAGUAAUGGAGAGGGAACCGGAAUGCUCGGUGUAGCAGUGAAAUGCGUAGAUAUCGAGAGGAACACUCGUGGCGAAGGCAGGUUCCUGGACAUUAACUGACGCUGAGGCACGAAGGCCAGGGGAGCGAAAGGGAUUAGAUACCCCAGUAGUC
rnacentral:rRNA from 1 species